GUUACACGAGCACGGGUUCCCUGCGUUUAGUUUCAUUCUAAGUAACGAAGUUCCAACCGUAAGCUGCACGAGCAACGAGGAAGCGCUGAAAUUUUGGGCCAGGAAACCUCGGUUCUUUAUCCACUCUACGGGAACCAACACCGUCGCGGCCGCCAUCUUCCCCUCACUACUAGCAGGAGCCCGGAUGUGUAGCAUGCGAGCGAGGGGUCAAAGUGAAGCCCCGCCCACUAAGAAUGCCGGGAACUGCGAGUUAGCUAUUCGUUUUCCCGCCCCAGUCAGUCAUCUCCGUCCCGGGGAAGCCCGAGGCCCGUGGCCAACGACGUCGCCCAAACCCGUGGGUCCCUUCGCAGUGACGUCGCGGGCCGCGCCUUCCGCCACCCUAGCCCUCGCUUCCCUUUCCCCAGGCCAAUUCCUAGCCCUUAUCUUCUUCCUUCCGUAGUCUCAACACCAGGCAACUAAUUCAAACAUGUAUCUCUAAAGUACCUAAUAUGUGCUAGACACUGGGAAUAGAAAAACAAUAAACCAUGAUGCCCAUGAUUAACAAGUUUGCCAUUUGUGGGAAAGAGAAACAUAUAAGCAGGCCAAUUACAAAUCCUUGCUACAUGCUGAGGUAAAGAAAUUACUCAGGGAAAGUGUAGCCAUUUACUGUGUCAAACAUGCUGUUACAGGGAAUACAAUAUAACGAGUAAAAGAGAAAUCAGCCCUGGGAACACUUGAAGCCCCUGUGCCACCAACACUACUGUCUCCCGUGUCAUUGUCACCUUAGGCAAAACUAGGGAAUGCAAGUACCAUGAGAAAACAACUUGCUUACAUUGCCACUAACAAAGUAUCUCCCACUAAACCCUAACCAGCUGGAUAGCUCCCUGGGUUCGAAAAUCGUCUGGAUAUCCCAAGGUUCUGGAUUUGAUCCUGGGUCAGAGCAGAUGUAAAAAUCAACCAAUAAAUGCAUGAAUAUGUGGAACAACAA